UCGAGGAUCUUCGGCAAUGGGCGCAAGCCUGACCGAGCGACGCCGCGUGCGCGACGAAGGCCUUCGGGUUGUAAAGCGCUGUCGGGGGGGCGGAAGGGCAACUUGACUGCCCCCCGGAGGAAGCACGGGCUAAGUUCGUGCCAGCAGCCGCGGUAAGACGAACCGUGCGAACGUUGUUCGGAAUCACUGGGCUUAAAGGGCGCGUAGGCGGGCGGCCAAGCCCGCGGUGAAAUCCCCCGGCUCAACCGGGGAACGGCCGCGGGGACUGGCCGUCUGGAGGGGGGUAGGGGCGCGCGGAACGCCGGGUGGAGCGGUGAAAUGCGUUGAUAUCCGGCGGAACUCCGGUGGCGAAAGCGGCGCGCUGGGCCCCUUCUGACGCUGAGGCGCGAAAGCCAGGGGAGCGAACGGGAUUAGAUACCCCUGUAGUCC
rnacentral:rRNA from 1 species